rnacentral:lncRNA from 1 species
UUUCCUGGCAGGGUGGGGAGGGCGUGAAUGGAGACUCUCUUUUGUUUUAACUCCUCCUCAUAAAGGAACUGUAACAGAUCCACUCUUGUGCAAAGAGAAUGUUAUAAACAAGAUAAUGAAGCUUCGAGAUAGCUUCCCUAAAUUCACUAAGUCAUUAAGUAAAUUUUACAUUAUAAUCUAAGUGAAAAAAAUAAACAAACCAGAAAAAUCAAAAACAAACCAAAAAUAGACCAGAAAAGCCUGAACAGGUCCUAAAUGAAAUGCCAUGAAGGUCUCCUCUCAGAAUCACUGUGGAUUCUCUCAUGCUCCGGAUGAAGCAGAUUGUAUCAAGCAACAACAUCACUGAACUUUUAUUGAAAGUGCAAUCCAUAUUCUACAAAUGAAACUUAGAGUUUCCUAUCUGUCUGCAAUUUAGUUCUAUUUUUAACUCAUUUCACAGCUCAAUUAAUAUUCCAGUGUUUUAUUCUUCUUCACAUAUUCAGAGCAGCCUGAAAUAAACUUUACUUUGAAGCUACUUCCAGCCUUUGCAAAUCCUUACCCUUCUCAGAACCUUCUUUUCCAUCACUGCUAUUUGUUCUUUCUCCCUGGAGACUUCCUUGUUGUCACUUCAAGAUACAGACCUUGCCACCUGCUUUCCAC